UGGGUCCUCCAGACGAAUGCGGGAGGAGCAGCUGGCCCGGGAGGCUGAAGCCCGGGCUGAACGUGAGGCUGAGGCCCGGAGAAGGGAGGAGCAAGAGGCUCGAGAGAAGGCGCAGGCUGAGCAGGAGGAGCAGGAGCGGCUGCAGAAGCAGAAAGAGGAAGCCGAAGCUCGGUCCCGGGAAGAAGCUGAGCGCCAGCGCCUGGAGCGGGAAAAGCACUUUCAGAAGGAGGAACAGGAGAGACAAGAGCGAAGAAAGCGGCUGGAGGAGAUAAUGAAGAGGACUCGGAAGUCAGAAGCCGCAGAAACCAAGAAGCAGGAUGGAAAGGAGACCAUGGCUAACAAUUCUGGCCCAGACCCUGUGAAAGCUGUAGAAACUCGGCCCUCUGGGCUACAGAAGGAUUCUAUGCAGAAAGAGGAGCUGGCCCCCCAGGAGCCACAGUGGAGCCUGCCAAGCAAGGAGAUGCCAGGGUCCCUGGUAAAUGGCCUGCAGCCUCUCCCAGCGCACCAGGAGAACGGCUUCCCCGCAAAGGGAACUGCCGGGGACAAGAGUCUGGGUCGAGCAGCAGAGGGACUCCUCCCAUUCGCAGAGGCAGACGCUUUUCUCAAGAAAGCGGUGGUGCAGCCUCCACAAGUCACAGAAGUUCUUUAAGCAUUGCCUUGGACCCGGGUGCAGCUGUGAAGGUUCCUCAUGUCGGUUCGUGGGUGUCUAGAAGAGAAAGAGACAGAACAAAGAUGGACGCAGCCUGGGCUCCCGGAGGCAGAGCUCCUCUUUGUUUUCAAUCUGCACCUUACAGACUGAUGAUGUCUUUGGCUGAAAGCAGGUCCUGUCCCUCAGCACGUUCAUGUGCUCACACGCUCGGACACCCACCUUCCCCGUACACACAUACACUCAUAGCCUCUCUGGCCUCCCCCCACGGGGAAGGACCACUUGUAGUAUUUGCCUUGGUUUGGUGGGGUACAGUGGAUGUGAAUACUGUAAAUAGCUUGUGCUCAGACACCUCUGCGUGGACGAGGCGGGUACAGGACUCGGACCCUCCUCCCAAGACUCCCUGGGAAGAUCUCCCUCUAUUUAACUAACCGACGGGGAACUCAGGUCUGGGAACGGAGGGGCACCUUGGGCCACAGAAUACUGGUUGCUUCAGGGGCAAUACCCUCUGUCCUGGCCUGGAAUCAGUGUUAUUACAUCUGAUCAAACGUCUCCAGAAAUAAAGUGAGAAUAAUUCUGCCAAA
rnacentral:lncRNA from 1 species